rnacentral:rRNA from 1 species
GACGAACGCUGGCGGCGUGCUUAACACAUGCAAGUCGAACGGUAAGGCCCCAGCUUGCUGGGGUACACGAGUGGCGAACGGGUGAGUAACACGUGGGUGACCUGCCCCGCACUUCGGGAUAAGCCUGGGAAACUGGGUCUAAUACCGGAUAGGACCGCACCGUGAGGGUGUGGUGGAAAGUUUUUCGGUGUGGGAUGGGCCCGCGGCCUAUCAGCUUGUUGGUGGGGUAAUGGCCUACCAAGGCGGCGACGGGUAGCCGGCCUGAGAGGGUGGACGGCCACAUUGGGACUGAGACACGGCCCAGACUCCUACGGGAGGCAGCAGUGGGGAAUAAUGCACAAUGGGCGGAAGCCUGAUGCAGCGACGCCGCGUGGGGGAUGACGGCCUUCGGGUUGUAAACUCCUUUCACCAUCGACGAAGGUUUUCUGACGGUAGAUGGAGAAGAAGCACCGGCUAACUACGUG